rnacentral:rRNA from 1 species
UACGGAGGACCCGAGCUUUAUCCGGAUUCAUUGGGUUUAAAGGGUGCGUAGGCGGAUUGGCAAGUCAGAGGUGAAAGCCUGCAGCUUAACUGUAGAAUUGCCUUUGAUACUGCUAAUCUUGAAUGUGGUUGAGGUGGAUGGAAUGUGUCAUGUAGCGGUGAAAUGCUUAGAUAUGACACAGAACACCGAUCGCGAAGGCAGUUCACCAAACCAUUAUUGACGCUGAGGCACGAAAGCGUGGGGAGCAAACAGG